AAACCCUUCAGCAGACCCUCUCUUCCCCAAGUCUCGUUUCUCUUUCUUCCUCUAGAUCUACAGUUUCUCAAUCUUUACGCUUCUGUUGAUCUCUCUUUCUUACUAUUUGUAUCUCAAUUUCUUACUUAGGUUUUGAUUUUGGUUCUGGCUUGUGUUGUUUUUCUGAAGCGAGGAAGAACACGCAAAACCCAGAAACUCCUCUUCAAAUAUCAUCAUCAAUGGCUGACGAUUAUCAAAUCUAGGUGAUAUGGGAUACGAGGAUGAUAUUCAUGUUUGAGCAAUCAUCAAUUUCAGGUGCACAUUUAAAAAUGCUUGUUUACUUUGUGAAAUUAUUUAUUGUGAUUUCAUAGUAUAUUUAUGGUCUGCGAUUGGGACUUCUGAUGUUGUGGAUGAUAACAUCUACAACUUCACAAAAGAAGGGUUUAAUUAACUGCAUCAUAUAUAAAGUUCUGCAUUAUGGUAUUUUUUUAUCUAUACAUUUGUCUGUGUUUGAUGUUCUUUUUUGAGGUGGGUUUAUCUUUUUUAAGUAACGGGUUUUCAUGAUUUUUGUACAAGGUCUACUGCUUACAGCCUUGGUAUUUUGUAAUCAACCACCAUCUUCUCAGUAUCAUCAUCAUGUUUAUGCAAAUGUUUCUAAUGUACCUAAGAACCUUUCUCAAACCUUACAUGACAAUACACAAAUUUAAGAUCCGCAACAGCAGGGUGGUGUUAUCUCUAGAGUACAGAGUAAUUUCAGAAGCUCUUCGCAGGGCUCGUAAUUUGUUCCUCAGCAGGUCAACAAACAUUUCCAGUUCGAUCCCUCUUAGACUCCUCAAAGAUGCUAUGGGGGUAGUUCAUCCAACCAAUGCUGCAGGACAGUUCCGUACACCAGGCUUUGAGAAACUGAAGCUUCCAGUCACCUCGUCCACUCAGGUUUGAGACUAGAUACUAUCAGACAUUUGACUGCAACCCUAAUCAAAAGUAAGCUGCACUUUAGGUUACUUCAUUUGGUCCCUUUAUUGCAUGACUUCAGUUCACAAUUUGUAUCUCUUUUAGAGUACCUAGUUUCAUGCUUUCUGUUUUAGUUAAGGUGGUCACAGAUUUUUUCGGCAACCUGCAGCUUACUGUUUCCAACCCCAACUAUUGUCUGGGAUGAGGCCAAGUAUAUUGUGGUCCCUUGACUAUCCUUUGGAUCAUGGGUGGGGACUGGGGUUAUUUUUCUUUAGGGAUUAUUAAACUGUUUCGUAAUUAGUAUUAGUAUUAAUUUACACAAUAAAUGCACAACACGUCUGAUUCGUCAGUGAUUAUAUGAUUUGUUUGGUGACCAUGCUCUUCAUUAUGCACACGAAAUAGGUUAUAAGUUUCGACAUGAUUUGUUUCGUGAUGUUUUGUCUGAUAUAUGUCUUCGUGCUGGCAUGCACGCACUAAAAGAGGUGGAUUUGGGUUUCUUAUCAACUGGAGGUGAUGCUUUAAGGCCUGCAGAUAUUCUCAUUUAUAAUUGGGACAUGGGUCGUAAUGUGUGUUUAGAUGUUACUGGAAUUUCACAUUUUACAGGAGGUGGAGUUAAUACCUUCCUACCAGGGCAGGUUGUAUGUAAUGCGGUUUCAAGAAAGCGGAACAAGUAUCUUGACAAGUGUACUACACAUGGUUACGGUUUCGGUACUAUAACUUUCACGAUGUUGCGCGAGUUAGGUGAUGAGACCUUGAAUUUCUUGAAGAGAAUUGGUGACUACGUGCAGUACGGUGAUGUUGAGUGUUGGCUAGAUGUGUAGCUAUAUUAGACUAGUCCCAUGUGAUUUUUCAUAGAUUAGGUGUUAAUAUUCAAAGAGGUGUUGGCGCCCAAUUAGUUUCCAGGUUGCUGACAAGUUGUAUAUAAAAGUUCCUUAAUAUUGUUUAGUAUAUUCGUCUGAAGAGAAUGUGCUCUUUUCAAGGAUACCAUGAUAUGUGUGUCUCAUGUAUUGAGAGUGAAGACGAGGUCGCUUGGAUAUAAAAUCUUAGACGAAUGGAGACCUUAGUUUUUCAAUAAUCGAGUUGCUGAUCUGCCGUUCAGUAAAUACUUCAUUAUCUAUUGUAAAAACUUUUAUGAAUUAUUGCCAUGAACUCUUUGAUCA